rnacentral:rRNA from 1 species
UACGGGGGGAGCAAGCGUUGUUCGGAUUUACUGGGCGUAAAGGGCGCGUAGGCGGCCAGCACAAGUCAGUUGUGAAAUCUCCGAGCUUAACUCGGAAAGGUCAACUGAUACUGUGCGGCUAGAGUGCGGAAGGGGCAACUGGAAUUCUUGGUGUAGCGGUGAAAUGCGUAGAUAUCAAGAGGAACACCUGCGGCGAAGGCGGGUUGCUGGCCGACACUGACGCUGAGGCGCGAAACCAGGGAGC